rnacentral:rRNA from 1 species
CCUACGGGUGGCAGCAGUGGGGAAUAUUGCACAAUGGGGGAAACCCUGAUGCAGCGACGCCGCGUGAGCGAAGAAGUAUUUCGGUAUGUAAAGCUCUAUCAGCAGGGAAGAAAAUGACGGUACCUGAGUAAGAAGCUCCGGCUAAAUACGUGCCAGCAGCCGCGGUAAUACGUAUGGAGCAAGCGUUAUCCGGAUUUACUGGGCGUAAAGGGAGCGUAGGCGGCCUGCCAAGUCUGAUGUGAAAUACCGGGGCUCAACCCCGGGGCUGCAUUGGAAACUGGCAGGCUGGAGUGCCGGAGAGGCAGGCGGAAUUCCUAGUGUAGCGGUGAAAUGCGUAGAUAUCACACAGAACACCGAUUGCGAAGGCAUCUCACGAAUCCGCGAUUGACGCUGAUGCACGAAAGCGUGGGUAUCAAACAGGAUUAGAUACCCGGGUAGUC